AGCAGCCGCGGUAAUUCCAGCUCCAAUAGCGUAUAUUAAAGUUGUUGCAGUUAAAAAGCUCGUAGUUGAAUUUCGGAAUCUGUCCAUCGGUCGGGCUUCAUUGUCCGUACUGGUGUGGUGGGUUCUUACCUUCUGAAUAACCAGCAUGCCAUUUAUUUGGUGCGCGGGGGAAGCAGGACUAUUACCUUGAAAAAAUUAGAGUGCUCAAAGCAGGCUAGUGCCUGAAUACAUUAGCAUGGAAUAAUAAAAUAGGACGGCAUGGUUCUAUUUUGUUGGUUUCUAGGAUCACCGUAAUGAUUAAUAGGGAUAGUUGGGGGCAUUAGUAUUCAAUUGUCAGAGGUGAAAUUCUUGGAUUUAUUGAAGACUAACUUCUGCGAAAGCAUUUGCCAAGGAUGUUUUCAUUAAUCAAGAACGAAAGUUAGGGGAUCGAAGACGAUCAGAUACCGUCGUAGUCUUAACCAUAAACUAUGCCGACUAGGGAUCGGACGAUGUUAAUUUUUAAUGACUCGUUCGGCGUCCG
rnacentral:rRNA from 1 species